NNAUGCGAUCAUACCAGCACCAAUGCAUUGGAUCACAUUAGAACUCCAAAGUUAAGCGUGCCUGGGCAAGAGUAGUACUAGGAUGGGUGACCUCCUGGGAAGUUCUUGUGUUGCAUUCC
rnacentral:rRNA from 1 species